rnacentral:rRNA from 1 species
AUUGAACGCUGGCGGCAGGCCUAACACAUGCAAGUCGAGCGGAGGAAGUGAGCUUGCUCCUGGAUUCAGCGGCGGACGGGUGAGUAAUGCCUAGGAAUCUGCCUGGUAGUGGGGGAUAACGUCCGGAAACGGGCGCUAAUACCGCAUACGUCCUGAGGGAGAAAGUGGGGGAUCUUCGGACCUCACGCUAUCAGAUGAGCCUAGGUCGGAUUAGCUAGUUGGUUGGGUAAAGGCCUACCAAGGCGACGAUCCGUAACUGGUUUGAGAGGAUAAUCAGUCAAACUGGAACUGGGAAACGGUCCAGCCUCCUACGGGAGGAAGCAGUGGGGAAUAUUGGACAAUGGGCAAAAGCCUGCUCCAGCCCUGCCGCGUGUGUGAAGAAGGUCUUCGGAUUGUAAAGCCCUUUAAGUUGGGAGGACGGGCAGUAAGUUAAUACCUUGAUGUUUUGACGUUACCAACAGAAUAAGCAACGGCUAACUUCGUG